UUUUUUUCAAAAAACUUGUUUUUGUCUAUUUUAUCUUUCAAUAUUAGAGUAGUUGAGUAUUAAGUUUCAUGAUUUAUUUCUUUUUAUUUUUCUUUCUAUAAGGUUAACAUAGUUUAUAGGUUUUCUAAAAUAACACAGGUUGCCCUAGUUUAUGUUUAUAUAUCCUUUUGUUUUUUUUUUUUUUUGUUAUUGAACUUUUGUUAUGAUUUUUUUUCAUUUUUUAUUUGUUUGUUUCAUCUUUCAAUAUUGGUGGUAGUUGAUAAUUAGACUUCAUAAUUUUUUUUCUUUUCAUUUUAUUUUUUAUAGAGUUGAUGUAGUUUGCAGAUUUGCCAAAAUAACCUAAAUUUCCCCGGUUUACUGAUUUGGUGGGGUAUUUUUUUU
rnacentral:lncRNA from 1 species